GAUGAACGCUGGCGGCGUGCUUAACACAUGCAAGUCGAACGGAAAGGCCAGUGCUUGCACUGGUACUCGAGUGGCGAACGGGUGAGUAACACGUGGGUGAUCUGCCCUGCACUUCGGGAUAAGCUUGGGAAACUGGGUCUAAUACCGGAUAGGACCACUUCGUUGUUGUUGUGGUGGAAAGUUUUUUCGGUGUGGGAUGAGCUCGCGGCCUAUCAGCUUGUUGGUGGGGUAAUGGCCUACCAAGGCGUCUACGGGUAGCCGGCCUGAGAGGGUGUCCGGCCACAUUGGGACUGAGAUACGGCCCAGACUCCUACGGGAGGCAGCAGUGGGGAAUAUUGCACAAUGGGCGGAAGCCUGAUGCACCGACGCCGCGUGGGGGAUGACGGCCUUCUGGUUGUAAACUCCUUUCGCCAAAGACUAAUUUUGACGGUAUUUGGAGAACAAGCACCGGCUAACUACGUGCCAGCAGUCGCGGUAAUACGUAGGGUGCGAGCGUUGCCCGGAAUUACUGGGCGUAAAGAGCUCGUAGGUGGUUUGUCGCGUCGUUUGUGUAAGCCCAUGGCUUAACUGUGGGACUGCAGGCGAUACGGGCAUAACUUGAGUGCUGUAGGGGAGACUGGAAUUCCUGGUGUAGCGGUGAAAUGCGCAGAUAUCAGGAGGAACACCGAUGGCGAAGGCAGGUCUCUGGGCAGUUACUGACGCUGAGGAGCGAAAGCAUGGGGAGCGAACAGGAUUAGAUACCCUGGUAGUCCAUGCCGUAAACGGUGGGCGCUAGGUGUGAGUCCCUUCCACGGGGUUCGUGCCGUAGCUAACGCAUUAAGCGCCCCGCCUGGGGAGUACGGCCGCAAGGCUAAAACUCAAAGGAAUUGACGGGGGCCCGCACAAGCGGCGGAGCAUGUGGAUCAAUUCGAUGCAACGCGAAGAACCUUACCUGGGCUUGACAUACACCGGAUCGCAGCAGAGAUGUAGUUUCCCUUGUGGCUGGUGUACAGGUGGUGCAUGGUUGUCGUCAGCUCGUGUCGUGAGAUGUUGGGUUAAGUCCCGCAACGAGCGCAACCCUUGUCUUAUGUUGCCAGCAUUUGGUUGGGGACUCAUGAGAGACUGCCGGGGUUAACUCGGAGGAAGGUGGGGAUGACGUCAAAUCAUCAUGCCCCUUAUGUCCAGGGCUUCACGCAUGCUACAAUGGUCGGUACAACGCGCAGCGAGCCUGUGAGGGUGAGCGAAUCGCUGAAAGCCGGUCGUAGUUCGGAUUGGGGUCUGCAACUCGACCCCAUGAAGUCGGAGUCGCUAGUAAUCGCAGAUCAGCAACGCUGCGGUGAAUACGUUCCCGGGCCU
rnacentral:rRNA from 1 species